AACGAACGCUGGCGGCGUGCCUAACACAUGCAAGUCGAACGAGAAAGUGACUUCGGUCACUGGACAGUGGCGUCCGGGUGAGUAACACGUGGGUAAUCUACCUUCGGGUGGGGAAUAACGUCUCGAAAGAGACGCUAAUACCGCAUAAUGCAGCGGCACCUUAUGGUGAAUAGUUGUUAAAGCGGGGGGAUCGCAAGACCUCGCGCCUGAAGAGGAGCCUGCGGCAGAUUAGCUUGUUGGUGAGGUAAUGGCUCACCAAGGCUGCGAUCUGUAGCUGGUCUGAGAGGAUGAUCAGCCACACUGGGACUGAGAUACGGCCCAGACUCCUACGGGAGGCAGCAGUGGGGAAUAUUGACAAUGGGGCAACCCUGACCCAGCAAUGCCGCGUGA
rnacentral:rRNA from 1 species